rnacentral:snRNA from 1 species
CGAACGAUACAGAGAAGAUUGGCAUGGACCCUCGCUUGGAUGACACGCACAAGUCGAGAAAUGGUCCAAAUUACU